UUCUCUUCAGAUCAUAUAAAUCUUUUGCCUUUUACUGAAGAGUUCCGUGGAAAGAA
rnacentral:snRNA from 1 species